rnacentral:tRNA from 1 species
AUUUAAUUAGUAUAAAUAAAGUACAUUUAAUUUCCAAUUAAAAGGUUUUAUUAAAAUUAAAUA